UACGUAGGUGGCGAGCGUUAUCCGGAAUGAUUGGGCGUAAAGGGUGCGUAGGCGGCCUGCUAAGUCUGGAGUGAAAGGUACCGGCUCAACCGGUACAGGCUCCGGAAACUGGGAGACUUGAGUGCAGAAGAGGAGAGUGGAACUCCAUGUGUAGCGGUGGAAUGCGUAGAUAUAUGGAAGAACACCAGUGGCGAAAGCGGCUCUCUGGUCUGUAACUGACGCUGAGGUUCGAAAGCGUGGGUAGCAAACAGG
rnacentral:rRNA from 1 species